GAUGAAGAACGUAGUGAAAUGCGAUAAGUAGUGUGAAUUGCAGAAUUCCGUGAAUCAUCGAAUCUUUGAACGCACAUUGCGCCCCUUGGUAUUCCGAGGGGCAUGCCUGUUCGAGCGUCAUUUCAACCCUCAAGCACAGCUUGGUCUUGGGCUUCGCCGCUAACCCGGCGGGUCUUAAAAUCAGUGGCGGUGCCGUCGGGCCCUGAGCGCAGUAAUCUCUCUCGCUAUAGGGUCCCGGCGGAUGCUGGCCAGUAACCCCCAAUUUUCUAUGGUUGACCUCGGAUCAGGUAGGGAUACCCGCUGAACUUAAGCAUAUCAAUAAGCGGAGGA
rnacentral:misc_RNA from 1 species